rnacentral:rRNA from 1 species
GCAGUGGGGAUAUUGCACAAUGGGGGAAACCCUGAUGCAGCCAUGCCGCGUGUAUGAAGAAGGCCUUCGGGUUGUAAAGUACUUUCAGUUGUGAGGAAGGCGUUGAAGUUAAUAGCUUCAGCGUUUGACGUUAGCAACAGAAGAAGCACCGGCUAACUCCGUGCCAGCAGCCGCGGUAAUACGGAGGGUGCGAGCGUUAAUCGGAAUUACUGGGCGUAAAGCGCAUGCAGGCGGUCUGUUAAGCAAGAUGUGAAAGCCCGGGGCUCAACCUCGGAACAGCAUUUUGAACUGGCAGACUAGAGUCUUGUAGAGGGGGGUAGAAUUUCAGGUGUAGCGGUGAAAUGCGUAGAGAUCUGAAGGAAUACCGGUGGCGAAGGCGGCCCCCUGGACAAAGACUGACGCUCAGAUGCGAAAGCGUGGGGAGCAAACAGGAUUAGAUACCCUGGUAGUCCACGCCGUAAACGAUGUCUACUUGAAGGUUGUGGCCUUGAGCCGUGGCUUUCGGAGCUAACGCGUUAAGUAGACCGCCUGGGGAGUACGGUCGCAAGAUUAAAACUCAAAUGAAUUGACGGGGCCC